AGCGAACGCUGGCGGCAGGCUUAUCACAUGCAAGUCGAGCGGGCGUAGCAAUACGUCAGCGGCAGCCGGGUGAGUAACGCGUGGGAACGUACCUUUUGGUUCGGAACAACACAGGGAAACUUGUGCUAAUACCGGAUAAGCCCUUCCGGGGAAAGAUUUAUCGCCGAAAUAUCGGCCCGCGUCUUAUUAGCUAGUUGGUGAGGUUACGGCACACCCAGGCGACGAUCAGUAGCUGGUCUGAGAGGAUGAUCAGCCACAUUGGGACUGAGACACGGCCCAAACUCCGACGGGAGGCAGCAGUAGGGAAUAUUGGACAAUGAGGGCAACCCUGGUCCAGCCAUGCCGCGUGAGUGAGGAAGGCCCUAGGAUUGUAAAGCUCUUUUGUGCGGGAAGAGAAUGACGGUACCGAAAGAAUAAGCCCCGGCUAACUUCGUG
rnacentral:rRNA from 1 species